AUAAACUUUGAGUGGUAUAAAAUGACUUGUCAAAAAAAAAAAAUUAAUGAACUUACACAAUUUGAAGAACUUGAAAGACAAAAGAAAUUAAUUGCCUUAUUAAUUUCGUGAAGACCGAGAAAUGAAAUUAAUUUUAUAUUUUAUCGUCUAUUCCGGAAUUACCUUGGUUCUUUUUGCGACGUUCUUGUAUUUAAUGACAGUGGUUGAUCCCGGUUUAAAGGAUCUCUAUAACAAGGCGCUGAGGAUGUCCAUGCUUGAAGAGCCGGACGAAGGUUUGCUUCCGCCCGAUCUAUACAUCGAUGUCGAAAACUUACUUUCAAAUAAGUCAAGGCGAUAUACCUAAAUAGAUGUAAGUUAACGCUGUUUUAAUUUUAAACUCAUUCAAUAAAGUUAUAAAUAACCAGA